rnacentral:rRNA from 1 species
GAUGAACGCUGGCGGCGUGCCUAAUACAUGCAAGUCGAGCGAAUGGAUUAAGAGCUUGCUCUUAUGAAGUUAGCGGCGGACGGGUGAGUAACACGUGGGUAACCUGCCCAUAAGACUGGGAUAACUCCGGGAAACCGGGGCUAAUACCGGAUAACAUUUUGAACCGCAUGGUUCGAAAUUGAAAGGCGGCUUCGGCUGUCACUUAUGGAUGGACCCGCGUCGCAUUAGCUAGUUGGUGAGGUAACGGCGCACCAAGGCAACGAUGCGUAGCCGACCUGGGAGGGUGAUGGGCCACACUGGGACUGAGACCCGGCCCAGACGCCUACGGGAGGCAGCAGUAGGGAAGCUUCCGCAAUGGACGAAAGUCUGACGGAGCAACGCCGCGUGAGUGAUGAAGGCUUUCGGGUCGUAAAACUCUGUUGUUAGGGAAGAACAAGUGCUAGUUGAAUAAGCUGGCACCUUGACGGUACCUAACCAGAAAGCCACGGCUAACUACGUGCCAGCCGCCGCCGUAA